CUCUGCCGGCAUUAUCAGAAGCACCAGGUGAUGAGAAAGGUGGAUGCGCUGAAGCACGAAGCAGCGUGGGACUGCAAUGAGCUACUGAUCCUUAACAAAUAAUUUGCCCCUCAGGGUUCCUGACACUGAUGCCGCGAGGAAACAGAGCUGGCUGAAGUUCACUCACAAGGAGGAGAAAGGGAAAUAAAUUAAACCCAACUUUCCUUGGCAGCUGUGUUUGCAGAGGAAAAACACCACUUCAUCCCAAACACCAGUGCAAUCCCCAAAGAUGGUCGAUCUUGGGACCGGCGCUCUUCAACAUCUUCAUCAUUGACAAAGACGAUGGCAUCAAGUGCACCCUCAGCAAGUUUGCGGAUGACACCAAGCUCAGCGGUGCAGUCGAUACGUUGGAAGGAAGGGAAGCCAUCCAGAGGGACCUGGAGAGGCUGGAGAAGCAGGCCCAUGAAAACCCAAUGAGGUUCAAUAACUUGCAAUACUGCACUUGGGUCAGGG
rnacentral:lncRNA from 1 species